rnacentral:rRNA from 1 species
CCUACGGGAGGCAGCAGUGGGGAAUAUUGGACAAUGGGCGAAAGCCUGAUCCAGCAAUGCCGCGUGAGUGAUGAAGGCCUUAGGGUUGUAAAGCUCUUUUACCCGGGAUGAUAAUGACAGUACCGGGAGAAUAAGCCCCGGCUAACUCCGUGCCAGCAGCCGCGGUAAUACGGAGGGGGCUAGCGUUGUUCGGAAUUACUGGGCGUAAAGCGUGCGUAGGCGGUGAUUCAAGUCAGAGGCGAAAGCCUGGAGCUCAACUCCAGAACUGCCUUUGAAACUAGAUCGCUAGAAGAUGGGAGAGGUGAGUGGAAUUCCGAGUGUAGAGGUGAAAUUCGUAGAUAUUCGGAAGAACACCAGUGGCGAAGGCGGCUCACUGGACCAUUCUUGACGCUGAGGCACGAAAGCGUGGGGAGCAAACAGGAUUAGAUACCCUGGUAGUCCACGCUGUAAACGAUGAUAACUAGUUGUCAGGGUUCACAGAACUUUGGUGACGCAGCUAACGCAUUAAGUAUCCGCCUGGGGAGUACGGUCGCAAGNUUAAAACUCAAAAUGAAAUUGACCGGNUGAGAGNGCGAGACGACGACGAGGAGAG